rnacentral:rRNA from 1 species
AGUCGAGCGAGGUUACUGUUUUGGAUCCCUUCGGGGUGAAGAAGCUUUAACCUAGCGGCGGACGGGUGAGUAACGCGUGGGUAACCUACCCCAAAGUCCGGGAUAACAGCGGGAAACCGCUGCUAAUACCGGAUGCCUUUACCUUGGGGCAUCUUGAGGUAAAGAAAGGCAACGCUUUGGGAUGGGCCCGCGUCCCAUUAGCUAGUUGGUGAGGUAACGGCUCACCAAGGCGACGAUGGGUAGCCGGCCUGAGAGGGUGGACGGCCACACUGGGACUGAGACACGGCCCAGACUCCUACGGGAGGCAGCAGUAGGGAAUAUUGCGCAAUGGACGGAAGUCUGACGCAGCGACGCCGCGUGAGCGAUGAAGGUCUUCGGAUCGUAAAGCUCUGUCCUUGGGGAAGAAGGCGAAAGCUUGACGGUACCCAAGAAGAAAGCCCCGGCUAACUACGUGCCAGCAGCCGCGGUAAUACGUAGGGGGCGAGCGUUGUCCGGAAUUACUGGGCGUAAAGGGUGCGUAGGCGGCCCUUUAAGUCGGAUGUGAAAGCCCGCGGCUUAACCGCGGAAUGGCAUUCGAAACUGGAGGGCUUGAGUGUCGGAGAGGGUAGUGGAAUUCCCAGUGUAGCGGUGA